rnacentral:rRNA from 1 species
UACGGAGGAGGCAAGCGUUAUCCGGAAUUACUGGGCGUAAAGAGUUGCGUAGGUGGCAUUGUAUGUCGGUAGUGAAAGCGUGUGGCUCAACCAUAUAUCCAUUAUCGAAACUGCAAAGCUAGAGGACGAGAGAGGUUAUUGGAAUUCCCAGUGUAGGAGUGAAAUCCGUAGAUAUUGGGAGGAACACCGAUGGCGUAGGCAGAUAACUGGCUCGUUCCUGACACUAAGGCACGAAAGCGUGGGUAGCAAACGGG